GGCUUACGCUCCAGUUAGGGUCAGUAGGUAUCUUUUCUACCUAUGUGCUGCUGUAUGCUUUAGUGGCAGUGGAUGGAGGACAACAGCCCGACCCCUCCUGGCAAUGGCUGCUUUCCUGCAGUGAGAUUCUUGUGGGCUGAGCCUGAUUCAUUCACCAGAUCUGCUGAUUUCCCAACCUCUCCUCGACUGCUGGGCUUUGCACUGUAUUAAAUGUUCUCUUUCACAGAGAACAGGCUUUGCUGGCACAGGGAAACCACUGCCCACAAAUUCAGAUGGGAAGCACUUUCCAGGGAUCAUCUCUUCAAGUGCUGUUCUGCUGGAACGAGCCUGCCCCGUGCUCUGCUACAGAACUCUCCUGACGUAAGCCAUCCAAAUCUACGCCGUGCUGCAGGGCUGUCCAGGGUUUAUCUUGCUCUGCACGUGAUUUACAAACUCCCUUCCAUUCCUGGAAUUGUGAGACACACUUCAUCCUUUCCUGGAAUGCCUGUAUGGCUCCUGCGAUCCCUGAGUGAUGCAUGACUUUGUUUUACACGUUCCCGUGAGAUGCUUCUGGGCAGUUGGCAUGUUUCAAAAAACUUGUCGCUCGUGAGCUGGAGCAGAAACCUGACUGAGAGACACAGGUAUGGUCUAAGAGAGGUGUCUGAAACCUGCUCGUUUGCGUGGUUCCUUUUCCAAAUGUGGGGUUUGUGUUGGGUUGUUCGCCUGGCUACGUCUCGCUGCAUGGCUCUCAAGGCGGACUUGUAGCUGCACCGCUGAAGCAGGGUAUGCAAAGAGAAUGUCAGAGCUGUCCGAGGCUGGGGACACUUUCUGUGCUGAUAAGCGACUCCUGUGAGUGGCCAAACUGAUCCAUCUCCCUCUCUGACAGUGCCUUUGUCUGAGGGGACUGUUGAGUGAGGCUUUAAGGCUAAGCAGAGGAUAAAAACGUACAAUUGACCAUGUCCAAUGACUGCCUCAAUCAUGUGACAUUUCCUCCAUCUACAUAAAGGCAUAAUUGACACUUUGGACCUUGCAGAUGUUUUGCAAUUCAUUUGGUUCCCACAAAGAUAUCAGAAAGUUAGUCUCGUGAACUGGCAAUACUGUGCUUUCCUCUGAACAUGUUCUUCUAGCUAAAACGUAUUUAGAUGCAAAUCGCACCAUGUCUCAUGGCCCCACUUGUUUUGUUUUGCUUUUUCCUUCCCAUUGCCUCUAAACAGACUGUGCCAUCGUUUUUUUCUUCUUAAAGUAUAAAAAUAUUCAGACAUUCCUGAAAAAAACAAGCACACUUGACUUCUUUGCACGUGAUCUGAUUCACACGUGAAUGUCAGUAUAUCCUUUUCCCUUCUACUCAUGGCCUUCUGCUUUAUGCUUCCUAAUUUAAUUUGUCUUUCUGGCUGCUCAGUGAUCCUUCCCAAAGAGAAAUCUCUUUGCUGAGAAGCUAUUUGCUGUGCUUUCAGCAGGAACAGAUGCUGUGAACGACUGGUUGGCUUCAUUUGGCUCUCAGAGGUCUGGACAAAGGGGUAGUGCUGCAAUCUGGCAGGGACCUUGUGCCAUUCAGGGAGGUCUUGGUACAAAUCUAGCAAAGUCAUUGCUUCUUCAUGUCGGUGAGCUAAGCUUCGUCCUCUGUGCUGUAACCUUCCUCUCCAUAAAAUGGGGAAGAAGCCAUCCAGGGUAGAUGUUACUCCUUCCCUCAGAGAUCUUCAGCUUCUGUAACCUCACGGCCAAAGGAGUUGUCUCCUUAUGGAAGAGGAUUUGCUCCAAAACCCUCUCAAACUCAUGGACCUCUCAGCACUCCACAGGGCUGGCAGAUUGGUCCACGCCACUGAGACUUUUCCUAUGAAUAGGAGAAUACCAUGCUUUGUUGAGGCCCCUCGCACUCAGCCUUAUAACUCCUCUCCCAUUUGCUCCCACUUGGCUGGAAGCGGUAAGGAUCAUGCCAGCCUGGCCAGUGCUUAUUAAAAUGAAGAAGAAAGCAGGGCCUGCCUUGCAGUACAACGUAUGAUUCUGCUGCAACAUGGCGUGGAUGUAUUGUAAUUGUUUUCAAACAAGCUUUAAAGAUAUUGAGGUAAAGCAUCAGAAGGAGGUACAGAACAGAAGGAACGUCUGAAAACUUCUCCUGAUUAGUUCUUGUAUUUACAUGUUGUUUUCUCUCACAGACCAGGCUUAUUGCAGUCUAGGUUAUAGCAAGAUCAUUUCGUACACCAGAAGGCUUUGCAAUUUGCCAGUGAAAAGCCAAAUAGGAAUCAAAGAUACCAGUGAGCAAGUUCAUGCCCCAAAAGAAAAGUUGUCCAUUCUAAUAGUGGAGGAAUUAAGGCUAUAACAAACCUCAGGGCAAGGAGUGGAUUGUCGUGCUACUACACCAAGACUGAACAACGUUCUUUAAGAUAAUGCUUAAAUCAGACAAGUUGCUUACCUCAGGAGAGAGGAACUGGGUGAGGUCUAUGGCCUGUGCAGAGUUCCAGCCAGAUGGUCCGAUGAGCUCUUCUGCUCUUAAAACCCAUGAAAUGCAGGAGCAGCAGCAAUGUCUUGAGUCAAGCAGACCUGUUCCCUGCCUUUGCAAGCCGUCACAAAUGAACCAAGUGACAACGCAACAUUCACACCAGGGUGAUAUUGCAGAAUUCCUCUUCUCUGAUGUUUAAAAACCUUCACAAAUAUACUCAUGGAUGAUAUAUGUACCUGUCCUGUUGCAGCACUGUCUUUUGGGUGAAACAGAACCAUUUAUAUUCCCAUUUAUACUCAUGGAGAGCAAUCUUAACCUUUUGCUUUGCUAGGUUGGACAGAGAAACCCCUGAUGUGGGAGGAUAUACCACUCCUGUAAGGGCACACCUAGGGAGCAGACUGAGGGCAAAACAUGCUGCCAAUCAAAGCUUAACUUAAUUAGAAUAUUUUAAAACAGUCUUCUGGCUCGACAUUACUGCUCUCAGUGAUCUUCUGCCACAAGCUCUAAGGUCUAUCAAGCAAGGUGUUAAGAGUGGUUUUGACUUGAGAGAACCAUACACCUCAUUUCUUCUUAUCCUAAUAGUGGAUCUGAAAUAUUUUAGGCAAAUCUUUUUUAAAAUUACCUUUAGGUCAAAUAUAUACAUAUACAUAUAUAUACACACAUAAAUAGUAUAAAUGUUACUUCAAAAGUAUCCUCCAUAGAAUAUUAUAAAUAACGAAUCAGAUUUGUCAUUACAACAAAUGUGUCACAAUAUUCAGAUAUAUGUCAUAGAAUCAUAGGAUCAUUAAGGCUGGAAAAGACCUCCAAGAUCAUCAGGUCCAACCAUCCCCACCAUGCCCACUAAACCAAGUCCCUCAGUGCCACAGCUACACAUUUCUUGAAUGUACAUAUGCUGUUGUUAUUUAAUGCAUAGAUAGAGAAUCUCUCAUAACUGUUGUUGGUGGUUUUAUAAUACCUGACCUUCACCUGAGAGACAGGAUGCAGUAUUUUAUAAAAGUUAUCUGUACCUUGACUUACAGAAACAGUUGAGCUCGAAGUUCAGCACAGCUGUACUUAAAGGUCACCAGUAUUUCCUUAAUUUUAUGUUUUAAUACUUUGUAAAACCUCAUGCUCGAUGCGGUAGGUUUCUAAACAUAUAUUUUCAACUCCUCUAAAUGAAUGUUCUAUGCCAUGAAGAUACAGAAUGUUGCGGGAUUUGGGCAAUCUGUGGCAAAUACAACUAUUUGAAGACACUAACACAACUAGUAGGAUUGUUCUGUGUCACGGUAAAGGAUUCUGUGGGCAUAUGUCUGGUGUUGGUGGAGAAGACAUCCAUCUACUACUUCUGUUUGUUGAUGAAACCGUCCGAGUUACGGUUCUAGAACUGAAUUUCAGAGUAUGAUGCACAGUCCCUGCGCUUGGGUUACUGUCCAGACUUUGGCUAUACUUUGAUAAGAGAACGUCAGCACUCAGAAAACAUCACUUCAGAAGAACUCACCCCCUAGAAAUCCAAUAGGAAAGCAAAGCCAAUGUUUUCUUUUCGAACUGUUUCUAGCAAGGAAAAAUUGGGAGACUUGUAACAAGUAGAUCUACUUCCUCCAGAAAUUGUCUAUCUUUUUUUGUCCAG
ensembl:lncRNA